rnacentral:piRNA from 1 species
UAAGGACCUGUCUGAAUGUCAUAUACUUA